rnacentral:lncRNA from 1 species
GUUGCAUGAGGAAUCCGACAGAAGGUCGACUUGAUGGUGAAAUUCGGAAGGCGUUGUGGAAGUUCGUCCACUGGAGGAGUUUGGAGGACACUGUAGAAGUCCGGUUGGCGCUGUUGAAAGUGGACGGCUCAGAGAGGUACGGAAGACACCGAAGACAGUCGGCUAAAUUCUGUUGUAGAAGUUCGGACGGAGUCCAGUCCUUGUAGGAGUCCGGAAGGAUGCCGCUUACUGUAGAAGCUCGGAUGGAGACCGG